rnacentral:rRNA from 1 species
UACAGAGGUGGCAAGCGUUGUUCGGAAUUACUGGGCGUAAAGGGCGCGUAGGCGGUCUUCUAAGUCUUGUGUGAAAUCCCUCGGCUCAACUGAGGAACUGCACGGGAUACUGGAUGACUUGAGUUCGGGAGAGGGAAGCGGAAUUCCGGGUGUAGCGGUGAAAUGCGUAGAUAUCCGGAGGAACACCGGUGGCGAAGGCGGCUUCCUGGACCGAUUACUGACGCUGAGGCGCGAAAGCUAGGGGAGCAAAGCGGGAUUAAGAUACC